GAAGAAGAAGAAGAAGAAGAGUGAUGCCAAAGAGAUGCCUGAGAGAAGAAGAGGAAGAAAAAAAUGAUGCGACUCUCUAAUUUAUUUAUUUAUGAUGAGGUGGGAUUAGGGUGUCCUUAGGAGAGUAAAUUGAAUCAAGACAAAUGAAGAGUAAUUAUGAUUUUUUCUUUGAUACUCAACUAUUAAUUGAAAAUAUUAGUAAAACUAAUAAGUUUCUAUUAAUUUGUUUUAGACAACGAAAAAGCUUGAACUUAUUUAAAAAUUAAUAAUAUAAGUUUGACCAAUAAUUUGAGAUUGAUGAUAAAAGUUCAACUAUUAAUUAAAAAUAUUACUUACUAAAAUUUCAGUUAGCUCGAUAAUGAAAAAGAUUAAGCAACUUCAAAAAAAUUAACAACAUAAGUAUGAAAUAUAAUUUGAGAUUAAUAUUAAAAAUUCAACUUUUAGAUAUAUGUUGGUUUAUGCAAAUUCUUAUUUGGUGAAAAAUUUAUGAAAUAAAAAGCCUAUGGGGCAUGAUUUAAAUUCGCGUAAUAAUUAAAACAUAC
rnacentral:misc_RNA from 1 species